rnacentral:misc_RNA from 1 species
AUUGAAUCAGCAGCUGAGUGCAGAACCUUUGGAUACUGCAUGGGUGGCAACAUUGGCUCAGGUAAUGUUUUUGGGAAGAACGGGUGCUCAUCAGGGCUUGUAUAUCUUCCAACCUUCGCAUGAAGCUUUUCAGUUUCUUUGACAAUAUACUCAACCAAAGAGCCAUGGAACCCGUCCAUCACAAAAACAUUAGGAUCAUAUGUCUCCGCAUUGAAACAGUACUGAGCUCUCUCCACAAGGCUGAAUAUUAUGCUAUCUUCUUGUCGAAUUAA